rnacentral:rRNA from 1 species
UGCGCAGGCGGCAAAGCAAGUCGAGUGUGAAAGCCCCGGGCUUAACUUGGGAAUUGCGCUCGAAACUACUUUGCUGGAGUGUGGCAGAGGAAGGUGGAAUUCCACGUGUAGCGGUGAAAUGCGUAGAGAUGUGGAGGAACACCAAUGGCGAAGGCAGCCUUCUGGGCCAACACUGACGCUCAUGCACGAAAGCGUGGGGAGCAAAACA